GGAAAUUGAUUAAGAGACAGUUGAAGAAAAUCUGCGAUGAAAUGAUGGCAUUAGUGAAAAUGGAGAGCGGACAGAAUGAAUGGCUUUUUAGUUGGAUUUUGUAUUUUCUUCAGAGUAUCGGGUCUGAAGCUUGUUCUUGUUAUAAGUCUUCAAUGAGCAGCGUGGAUGUUCUGGCUAGAGUCAAUGAAUGAAAGAAGGAUGGGAUCCGU
rnacentral:lncRNA from 1 species